ensembl:lncRNA
UAAAAUGCCAAUGAGCAGCUGCUGAAUGUUCAGGAGAAACACUGAGAUCCUACAGAAUCCUAAAUCUGCCUGCACCUCUGAGAAAGCUGCCUUCAGGAGGAAGAGCGUGUUCUGGCUUCCAAGUUCUUGAACUGAACAGCUACUGCAUCCUCUGGCUCUUUAGCACACAGACAGCCAUUGUGGACUCUCCAGGCUCUGAUCCUGAAUUUGCAUUCAGACAACUUGUUUGGGAAGUGACCCUCAGCAUAAGGCGGUGGAACAGGGAAGGAGGGAAACCAACACAAGGACGCAUCAUGGAAUGGACCACUGCCACUGGGCACUGUUGUAACAUUCUGAAGUGAGUCUCAGAACUGUCUCCCCACGGGACAAAAGGAAGCCAUUUUUAUCCUUUGACUCCUGUUGGCCAUUGGUUGAGGGUUACCCAGUGGAAUUUUUACUUCCCCACACUCCUGGGGAAGUUACACAGUUAUGAAUGUAAAGUUCAUUCUCCCCGCAUCCUGUGCCUCUGUAUUAAAGGGAGGCAGGAGCAGGAGGCAGUGUCACCUGAGAAGUGUGACAACAGGAACUAGCAUGGGACUCUCACUGCUGCUGGGUUGGGAGUGGUAGGUGGGGCUGAGAGAUAUUGACUUGUGUGUUGAAUACAGGAUAUUUGAAACAAAGUGUAUGUAUGCAUAUUGAGGUAUAUUAAAGUUAAUGAUUUAAAAAACCACAAGUCUAUUGCAAAGUUACUAAUAAAAUAUGUAUUAAAAAUACCACAGGUGUUUGG